rnacentral:rRNA from 1 species
CAGCCGCCGCGGUAAUACGUAGGGUGCGAGCGUUAAUCGGAUUUACUGGGCGUAAAGCGUGCGCAGGCGGCCCGUUAAGACAGGUGUGAAAUCCCUGGGCUCAACCUAGGAAUUGCGCUUGUGACUGGCGGGCUCGAGUACGGUAGAGGGGGGUGGAAUUCCUGGUGUAGCAGUGAAAUGCGUAGAGAGCAGGAGGAACACCGAUGGCGAAGGCAGCCCCCUGGGCCUGUACUGACGCUCAUGCACGAAAGCGUGGGGAGCAAACAGGAUUAGAUACCCGGGUAGUCCACGCCCUAAACGAUGGGUACUAGCCGUUUGGUGCGCGAUAGCGCUGAGUGGCGAAGCUAACGCGUGAAGUACCCCGCCUGGGGAGUACGGCCGCAAGGUUGAAACUUAAAGGAAUUGGCGGG